UAAUCUAGCUCAAAUGCAAACAAAAAUCCAAUGAAAAGCUAAACAAAACGAGACAAAGUCUUGACAAAACAGAAAGGAAAUUUUCUAGUCUUCAUAACAGAGUAUUCAUCAGCAUCUUUUAUGACCUCUACUUUUUCAGCGCCAUGCUCUCAGGCGCACACUAUUCCAUCCCUACAUCUUUAGACUCUCUAACUUUAGCAGUCUCAUGCUUAGAUGUUCCAUCAGCAACAACCUCAAUGGUGAACUCAAGCAGGUCCUCAAAGGAUAUGGAAAAAGUCUCAAGUUCUUAUUCGAAAACUCAUAACCAGGCGAUCAACUUUCAAGACUCGCCUUCUAGUUCCUCAGCUACUCAUCCACCUUAACCAAAUUUGCAUAGGCACUUUGCAGUUCCUUUAACUCUUUGUUCAGGUUGUCGCUUGCAAACAGCAGGCCCAACAACUCCAUAUAUUUAGACUCAAACUCAUCUACAAUCUUUUAAAGACAGUUGAUCACAUUGGCAAAAAAAUAAGGUCCUGAUCCUUGGCGAAGCUAGCAGAA
rnacentral:lncRNA from 1 species